rnacentral:lncRNA from 1 species
AUCACUGCACUGCGGGGCCCUGCUCAGCCACAUCACGUGACCUGCCAGGCUGGGAUUCGCCUGAGAGAGCGAGUGGGAAGCCGAGCUCUCUCAAAACCCACCUAGACACCAUCCAGGUGUUUGGGACUUCAACUCCCAUAAGUCUUUGCCAACUCGGGCCAUGGCCGGGAAUUAUGGGAAAUGAAGUCCAAUAUUCCCCUGCGGCCCACAGGUUGGCAAGCACUGACACUGCCGCCUGAGGCGUCUCCUCUCGAGUGGCACCUCGAAAGGUGCAAGCAAGGCCGGGGACUGGGCCUCCCUUAGCCUUCCCCACCUCGCCGCCUCCGGCCUCCUUACCUCCCUCUGGGGCUUCUUUUCUGCGCUGAGACACAAUACAACCACUCGCCAAGCUUGCAAGGCCUCGGCCCCUCCUCCUACUCCAGCCGCCGCGAAGCCUGGACUGGCGGCCACUGCGCGAGAUGCCCCUCCCCUCCCGCUAGGCGCAGCCCCGCCCCCUUCUCCCCGCCUCCGCCAAAGAAACAAGGGGCGGAGGCAGCCCUUAAAGGGCCAGGCCUCCCGAAAGGAGAGGGGUGAACCAUAUGAACCACGGAGUGGGCGGCGGGGCUUGAGGCAACCCUCACCCCCACCCCGAGAAGACAGAUCAGUUGCUGGGAGUACAGGGAACUCCAGAUAAUGUGCAAUUACACCUCAGCCUUUUCAAGAUCAUUCACAUGCAGACAUUGUUGUUAGGCGAUCCCUAGUUGACCGAGGAUGGUUGUCUUCCAAGUGUAGUAUCUUGGUGGUGGGUAAGUAGGUGACUGUGGAGUCCUAUUCUUGACCCACAUGUUCUUCCGCAGUGAAGACAUCUGUUUCCAGGUGGAAGGGGGUCCCUUGGGUUAGCCUCUUUGUUACUAUGAAGGUUGACCAUAUUGUCCAAUGAGGCAAUUCUCUUGUUAAUCCAUCCGUGACAAAAAGUUAAUAAAAAGUUAAUACUUUUUUCCUGCCUUGCAGGGCACUUGAAAAAAUCACGAAUAUGGUGCAUGGAUACUCAGUGAGAAGAGUGGAACAGAAUUUUUUGCAUGUGAGUAUAUGGACAUGUGUAGCCACGUACGAUCUUUAAGUCAUUUCCACUGUAUCUUUAAAACCCUUUUUAGCUCACAGCUCUCACUGUCUUUGGACCUGACUCUCUGAGCUUUAGAUAGUGGCACACUGCCUUCCUUCCUUCACUAGUUAAAAUUCUAGGAGCUAUAGGUAAACCUGUGGGAAAGGAGAGAGAGUUGGACCCACACCAGCAAUUCAAUUGAAGUCCUACUUCAUUGUUGGUUUACUUUAGUAUAUAUACACACUUCCACGUCAAAGGUCUACACAGCCAAUCAUGAGAGCAAAAAUAAGAAUGGCCAUAACUUUGUAGAUACAGUCAGCUCUCCACAUUCAUUGGGGGUAGGGGCAGAGGACUACUGUGGAAGUGAAAUAGUACAAAUAAAGAAAUUAAUAUUUUUACUCAAGGGAACACUCUUCUAGUAAUUUCUAGGUCUUCCUGCACACUCUAUGGCCAACUUCCACUGGAAGCUGACCAGGGAAUCACAUUGGAGGACCAAGGGAUUCCUGGGCUCCUUCUACACUUCCAUAUAAAAUCCACUGGAGGGAAAAGUUAGAUUGAAUCAGUUUCCUGCUGGAUUAGCUAUUCCCAGGUGAGCAGAGAGAUAAGUCUCCAAAAAAAGAUAGUAGGCACCAACUGUUCUGAGAGUGUUCUGUAGCCAGACAGUUGGCAAGAGUUAAUCCAGUGGGAUUCAGUUGUACAGGCUGCAGAAAUUCCUCAGGG